rnacentral:rRNA from 1 species
UUAAAAAGCUCGUAGUUGGAUUUCGGAAGGUCCUUAGCAAUCCGCCCCUUCGGGGAGCGGGUUGCUGGCCUCCUAUGUUCCUAACGGUCCUCGUCCGCGAGGGCGGGGAAUCAACCGCUAGGAUCGUUUACUUUGAGGAAAUUAGAGUGUUCAAAGCAGGCGUAACUCGCCUCCGAAUACGUUAGCAUGGGAUAAUGGAAUACGACUUCGGUCUUGUUUCGUUGGUUUCGCUUGGCUGAAGUAAUGAUUGAUAGGGACAGUUGGGGGCAUUAGUAUUUAGUUGUCAGAGGUGAAAUUCUAGGAUUUACUAAAGACUGACCAAUGCGAAAGCAUUUGCCAAGGAUGUUUUCAUUAAUCAAGAACGAAAGUAGGGGGAUCGAAGACGAUCAGAUACCGUCGUAGUCUCUACCGUAAACUAUGCCGACCAGGGAUCCGGAGAGUUUGCAUGGAUGACUCCCCGGGCACCUUGUGAGAAAUCAUAAGUGUUUGGGUUUUGGGGGGAGUAUGGUCGCAAGGCUGAAACUUAAAGGAAUUGACGGAAGGGCACCA